rnacentral:rRNA from 1 species
AGUUCGUGGAGUGAUCUGUCUGCUUAAUUGCGUUUCGCAAAAGGUCAUCACUAACGCUUUCUGAGCACCUAACGUUCAGCGUUCGCCUUGUUUGCUGUUCUUUUUGUGACCAUUUAACCGUUGUUGUGUGUCUCUGUGUUCGGCGGGUGGACGCUCACAUUCUUAGUGUCUCCGGAUGCUUUGCGAUGUGCUUUGCUGUCUCCCCCGACACUUGAUGCGCGGCGCGGGACGGUUACUUAGAGCAGUUGAGGUUUGAAUGCCGUUGGGUUACUUUUCAAGUCUCAGUAUAGCGUGUUGACCUUGAAAGCAACGAACGUGACCGCAGCCUCUUGUUGCCCUGCUUGUUUUUGUGUAUUUUUAAUACGCAAAACACACACGGGUCAAACUAGAGGGACCGCUCGAUAUAUGUUAAAACAGAGGAAGGUUGCGGCAAUAACAGG